rnacentral:rRNA from 1 species
AUUGAACGCUGGCGGCGGGCCUAACACAUGCAAGUCGAACGAGUGGCGGACGGGUGAGUAAUGUCUAGGAAACUGCCCGAUGGGGGGGGAUAACUACUGGAAACGGUCGCUAAUAACGCCUUCCAUACGUUUUGCCCAGGUGGGAUUAGCUAGUUGGUGGGGUAAAGGCUAACCAAGGCGACGAUCCCUAGCGGGUCCGAGAGGAAGACCGGCAACACUGGAACUGAGACACGGUCCAGACUCCUACGGGAGGCAGCAGUGGGGAAUAUUGGACAAUGGGCGCAAGCCUGAUGCAGCAAGGCCGCGUGUAUGAAGAAGGCCUUCGGGUUGUAAAGUACUUUCAGCGGGGAGGCGUUACCCGCAGAAGAAGCACCGGCUAACUCCGUGCCAGCAGCCGCGGUAAUAC